rnacentral:tRNA from 2 species
GGCCCCAUGGUGUAAUGGUUAGCACUUUGGACUUUGAAUCCAACGAUCCGAGUUCGAGUCUCGGUGGGACCU